UACGGAGGAUACAAGCGUUAUCCGGAUUUAUUGGGUUUAAAGGGUGCGUAGGCGGUUUUUUAAGUCAAUGGUGAAAUUCUUAUAGCUUAACUAUAAAAUGGUUGUUGAUACUGAAAAACUAGAGUAAUAUUGAAGUAACUGGAAUGUGUGGUGUAGCGGUGGAAUGCGUAGAUAUCACACAGAACACCAAUCGCGAAGGCAGGUUACUAAGUAUUUACUGACGCUGAGGCACGAAAGCAUGGGGAGCAAACAGG
rnacentral:rRNA from 1 species